GGUUUUAUGGUGUAACGGUUAGCACUCCAUUCUCUGAAUCUGGCGAUCUGGGUUCAAAUCCCGGUAAAGCCU
rnacentral:tRNA from 1 species